UUUGGGUUCCGAGUGGAAUAUUCCAUGGUGUUUCAGUUCAGUUUGUUGUGGAAUAGGAGGGUUCUGGCAACCUGAGGCAGCUCUGGUGCCAUGGAGGACCACUUACUGCUACGAAGUUUUACUGUAUACAAGUCCUGGAGAAGCUGUGUGAGGCCAUGUCAGUAUUGCCUGGAGACGUGAGACUCAUAUCAGACCGUUAAGGCUUAGCAUGGGAGAUGGCGAUGCCAGGCAAUCAUCAAAGCAGCAUGAAGGAAUAAUCAGAUCACCAGGGACAGACUGGCAACCGUUCAGAGCUGCUCUUGGACUCCGUGGAGCCUGCUUUGUUGCCGCAGCUGUAGAAGGAUUGUCAAACAUGACAACUAGUGAUUUUGAAAGACAUUUUUAGUUUAGUAUCAAUCCCCAGGAAUUUGGGACAUUGAUGCUAAAAUAUAAGCAAAAUUUUUAGGUAUUAUUUUCACUUUCAGAUGAUGACUACUACUACAGUAAGUUGACUAUGAUUUAAAGGUUACACGAGGCCAAUUUCUUUAUUGGAAACUUUUUGUAAAAAGAUACUAAUGUACUGCUGUUUCUCCAGAACCUUUUUCUUUUCCAAUCAGCCUCUUCAUGGCCCCCUUGAACUCCUUAUUCCUUAGUGUAUAAAUCAAUGGAUUCAAGCUGGGAGUAACAAUGGAAUAAAAGAUACUGAGAAGUUUACCCUCAUCCUGAGAAGGACUAUUUCCUGGUUGUAUGUACAUGUAGAUAAUAGUCCCAUAGAAGAUAGACACCACAAUGAGAUGGGAAGAACAAGUCCCAAAUGCCUUUUGUCUCCCUGCUGCAGACUUCAUCUUGAGUACAGCUACAGCAAUGAAGCCAUAGGAGACCAGAAUGAGAAGAAGUGGUGUGAGGAAAAUGAAAAAACACAAUGCAAAUAAACUUUC
rnacentral:lncRNA from 1 species